CUCUUUCUCCCUCAGCCUACCUAAAUAGACACACGUCACCAGUGUCAGCUGUUUUGCUUUAUUGUAAGUGUAGAUUUCUGGUAGGUGUAGAUAGUGUUGUGGACCGUAGAGCUGGAGGAAGCCUGGAAGACUACAGAAAGAGGACAAGAGAACACAAGUUAUGCUCCCACUCAACAAUCCCACUGGACCACAUGAAGGCUGCAUCCUAACUAAUGGACCUCUUGGAGAAGGAUUUUAUUUGAUAACUUGGUUAAAGAGCCUGAAAUGUUUCAUUAUCAAUUGCUUCAUUGUUGUUGGUAUAGAUUAAUCACCAGUACUUUCAUUCAUUUAUUUAUCUUCUUGAAACUCUGAUUUUCCAAUAGGUACAACUCACUUUUUCUGCUUUAAUUUUCACUAGUUCUCCCAACCAUUAGUUAUAAAGAAUCAUCUAGUUAUGGAGAAAUCACUAACCCUUUGGGAAUCCUGUCCCAUAGCUGAAAUCUACAUUCCUCCAAUUGUCUGGCAAGUUUUAAAGUUGUUAUUUCUUUGUUUGUUUCAACAGAUUUGUCCCUAAUCAUGUGGAAAGGGCUGCUAAAAUACAGAAUGUACUUACUCCAAGUGAGAUUCCCAGUUCACAGAUACAGUAGUAAACCUAAUUUGCAAAUAAGCCACAGUCAUACACAUAAUAUUUCACACACAUAUUAAUAUUGUUAAUAUUAAUAUUAAGCAGUUAUUUGCAAAACAAAUUGGUACAAUUUCUUUAUAAGAUUGUUUUACAGGAUUUUAUCAGCUGUUGCAAGAAAAGAACUGAGCUGCAAAAGGGAUUGGAGUUGUAUCUCAUUACUCUUCCUUAGGGAGGGUAUUGAAUUUGGUUAAAAAUCAGUCCACUCCUUUAGAAAGUAUGUUGCAGAGAGACAAAUGCAAAAUGCCAGAUGGUGGAGUUGAAACAGAGACCUCAUGGAAAUCCGGACACAGACAUGCGCAGAGGGAGAAGGCUAUGUGAGGAAGAAGGCAGUGGUUGGAGUGAUGAUUCUCCAAGCCUAGGAAGGCCAGUGACUGGCAGCAAAGCACCAGAAACGAGGGGAAGAAACAUGGAACCGAUUCCUUCUCAGGCCUCAGGAGGAACCAACCCAGACGAACCUUGAUCUCAGGCUCUAGCCUCUGUUGCAAUAAAACAUUUUAUUGUUGA
rnacentral:lncRNA from 10 species